GGAAAAUUUUUUUCCCCUAUACAUAAAACGCAACCACAGGAAUCCUCUCUCUCUCGCACCCAGCGACAGGCCAAGAGCCAACCUUUUUCGCGGAGAGAGAGAGAGAGAGGUGGAGGUGAAGGGAACGCGAGAGAGAGAGAGAGAGGAGAGAAACGAAGAGAGGAUCGGGAUGGCGGUGCUGCGAUCUGGGAUGGCGAUUGGGCCGCCGUAGCUGCGGUCCCUCCGUCGCAUCCAUGGGCGGAAAAGGGAUGGAGAUCCACCAGGUUUUCCGUCCUGCUCCGCCACCGCUCCGCCCCGCGGCCGUCCGUAACCUCGAGAGCUGGCGGUGUUUCUCCACUGGGGGUGGUGAGCCGAAAGGCAAAGCAGAUAGUUUCAUGCGUCUUUGGCAAUGGGCCAAAUAUCGUGUGGAAAAUGCAGGUCCAGUUGCCAAGACCAGGGCCGUCAGUCUGUAUGUAUUGGUGGCUAUAGGGACACCUACAUUAUAUAUGAUGAACACAGUAAGGAACUGGAGACCGUCCCCUUGAAGACAAGAAUGGAUCACCAAACGACCUGGCUUUAUUUCAGUGGUGCUAUUUAUCCUAGUUGUAUCCUGAAGUAUUAUUAGUUCGAUUAGCUAGCAAACUUCUGAAUCUGAACUUAUAUGUAGUGUAGGAGAGUUAUCUCUGGCCGGGUGAACCGAGGCAUUUAGUCCCGUACAAGUGGUGCUAUUUAUCCUAGUGGUAUUCUAAAGCACUCUAAGUUUGAUUAGCUGGUCACUUCUGAAUCUGAACUUAUAUAUAGUGUGAGAGUAAUCUUUGGCCGGUUCAACCGAGGCAUUUAGUCCCGCACAAGUACAAUGUUUAUGGUCGCCUUGGUGGGUUCUCUCCCCCAGAAAUGUACCUUUAUGAUCUUUAUGAUAUUGUGAUCGAUAUACUUACCUCGCUGAAA